UGUGUAUCAGUACAUGGCAUAUCAAUAAGCGGAGGAAAAGAAACUAACAAGGAUUCCCCUUAGUAACGGCGAGUGAAGCGGGAAGAGCUCAAAUUUGAAAUCUUCAAGGUUUUACCUUGACGAAUUGUAGUUUAAAGAAGUGUUUUCUGUUGAAGUUUUGGUAAAAGUUCUUUGGAAUAGGACAUCAUAGAGGGUGAGAAUCCCGUAUUUGACCAUUAUUUUCAGCUGUGUGAUACACUUUCAAAGAGUCGGAUUGUUUGGGAAUGCAGUCCAAAAUGGGUGGUAAAUUUCAUCUAAAGCUAAAUAUUGGCGAGAGACCGAUAGCGAACAAGUACCGUGAGGGAAAGAUGAAAAGAACUUUGAAAAGAGAGUUAAACAGUACGUGAAAUUGUCAAAAGGGAAGCGUUUGACACCAGUGUUGUUUUUCCGAAAAUCAAUUACGAAUGUUUUGUUUUUGAGAAGUUAUGACUUCAUCGGCUUGCUUCUCUCUUUACGAAACUUUCUUAAUGCACUUUUCGGUUAACAAGUCAACAUCAAUUUCUUUUGUUGUAAAAGGGUAUGAGGAAGGUGGCUUUCUUUUCGGAGAAAGUGUAUAUAGCCUUGUGCCUCUGCAAUCGGAGAGAUUGAGGUCUGCAGCGUAGAUCCUUCGGGGUUAGAUACGUUUGUGCUAAGUUAUAGCUUUUCAUAGACAACUUGUUGACUAUGUUUAGUCUUGUAGCUUACUCGCUGACGCUAUUUUACCUACGCUUAGGAUGUUGACUGAUAUGUAGUCGU
rnacentral:rRNA from 1 species